GCCCGGGUGGUGAAACUGGUAGACACGUUGGAUUCAAAAUCCAAUGGUAGCGAUACCGUGCCGGUUCGAAUCCGGCCCCGGGUACCA
rnacentral:tRNA from 1 species